UUUUCUAUGAUUAAAACUGUAUUUUUCAUUUACCAAUUGUUCCGACUGAAUAGUUUACGAACUAUAUGUCGACAAAACCCAUAAUCGUUAAGUUUCAGCCUUGUAUGAGAACA